UACAGAGGGUGCGAGCGUUGUCCGGAAUCACUGGGCGUAAAGGGUGCGUAGGCGGCUCGGUAAGCGUGUGGUGAAAGCCCGGGGCUCAACCCCGGGUCUGCCGUGCGAACUGCCGGGCUCGAGCACAGUAGAGGCGGGUGGAAUUCCGGGUGUAGCGGUGGAAUGCGUAGAUAUCCGGAAGAACACCGGUGGCGAAGGCGGCCCGCUGGGCUGUUGCUGACGCUGAAGCACGACAGCGUGGGGAGCAAACAGG
rnacentral:rRNA from 1 species